UUAAAUGCGAUUUAUCUUUGACGUAGAGCCAUUUUUAACAUAAGGACUGGACUGGACACUGAAACGACUUCUGAUAUAAGUUCGUCUUCGCUUUUUAACCUAACUUAUAGUUGAAUCGAACUUGACAUUUUUCUCAUGAGUUGUUAUGUACAUAUUUCAUAGUUCAGUCAAACUGGAACCUCAAUAUUGCAAUAACGGUUAAGCACGCUGAAUGAUACGUAUGUACCUCGUCACCCACUUCAUGCAACUACAUUAGUGGUCUAAUAACACUUAGCGCGCUAGGCAUAGUUCCAUCAUGCCGCUCAAAGUGUUGCCACAAAUAAUGCUUUGUUGGCGCAGCACAUGAACGGCGUCAUCCAGGCACCUUCAGCCGCAGCAGCAGCGCCACAGCGUACCUAUUCAAUUGAGAUAGUUUUGCUUUCUUUAUUUCACUGCUAGCAGCAAGCAGCCCAGUGGCUAUUGUAACAGUCGCACUAGGUUGCGUGGUGCUAGCCCGUCAGCGCAUCGUUCAUUGUGGCGAUACGCAUUCAAAUAAAUCCGUACUAUCGCUGCCGCCUAUAAAAGCGGCAGCUUGUGUCAUGUAAUGUUAGUUGUAAGUCAAUUAAACCACCACAGAGCAGGAGCACUGCCUCUCUGUGGUGCGCCAAUAAAUCGUAGUCAAAGUA